AAACGCUGCAGAUGUAUUCCCUCUCAGAAUGCCUGGUGGAAGCCUGGAGGUAGAAGAAGGCUGACACGGAUUUUGGUCCUCCAUACCCUGCUGCGCUCUCUUCACCUAUGUUGUGUUCUGCUCAUUGCCUUGAUGGUUGACCCCAGAAUGCCUCCCCCUCCUCACCUUCAAUGUGCAG